CUGUAGACACGAGUUUGACUCCGUGGCUCAGGACGAACGCUGGCGGCGUGCCUAACACAUGCAAGUCGAACGAAGCACUGUGGAUAGAGACUUCGGUCAAUUGAAGCUUUGACUUAGUGGCGGACGGGUGAGUAACGCGUGAGGAACCUGCCUUUCAGUGGGGGACAACAGUUGGAAACGACUGCUAAUACCGCAUAAUGUGUUUUGGGGGCAUCCCCGGAACACCAAAGAUUUAUUGCUGAAAGAUGGCCUCGCGUCUGAUUAGAUAGUUGGUGGGGUAACGGCCUACCAAGUCGACGAUCAGUAGCCGGACUGAGAGGUUGAACGGCCACAUUGGGACUGAGAUACGGCCCAGACUCCUACGGGAGGCAGCAGUCGGGAAUAUUGCGCAAUGGAGGAAACUCUGACGCAGUGACGCCGCGUAUAGGAAGAAGGUUUUCGGAUUGUAAACUAUUGUCGUUAGGGAAGAUACAAGACAGUACCUAAGGAGGAAGCUCCGGCUAACUACGUG
rnacentral:rRNA from 1 species